GUAAAAUAAAAAUGGAUGAAAUAUAAAAAUAGUGUUUCCAAAAUCAUGGCACAUUUUAUUAUGCUUUGAUCAUGUAUUCAAACCGAUAUUUUUGAGAGCUUCCAGUGUAGCAGGCACUGAGAACAAGGAACAAUUAAGUCUUUGUAACACAUCCAAAAUGCAUCACCCCAUUUGGAAGUAACGUCAGAGAUUUAAAUUCCAGGCCCCUGGUCCUCUUUUCAAGAUGGAUCCCCGAGUCCCUGUUGCCUAUGACUUCUUGGAUGAUCUAGAUUAGGCUGUCUCCUGCUGCGGCUCCUCGGGCUCUGACAGAGUGUGGCCGAAGUGGUGAAGCCUGCUGUGGCCUGUCCCCAGCCUCCCUUCCAGCCCUAUCCCUUCAGUCUCUUAGGGAUGGCACUGACCCCUCAAGUUCCACUACUCACUGGCUGGUCUUCAUGAAAUGCUCUGUCCAGUGGUGCCCAGCACUGCCUAGUGGUGACCGUGACUAAGUCACAGGCUGUCGAGGACUGCUCGGGCUGACCUCACCUACAGACCUCGCCGCUGGACAUCCCAACUGUGACCACCUGGUGUGAGCCUGGCGAUUGUGCUGCUGGGAGAACGGGGCAGAGCCAUGCUGCUGGAGUCCAGUGGCUGCCAGCUGGCCCAGAGGAGCAGUCAUGUGAAUUGAGACCACCGAGAGGACUCCAGUCAGACUGCGCGAGCAUUCACGAGGAAAAGAAAGAAAAUGGAGCGUUGGGGCUUGAGGUGCACUGAAUGUUGGAAAGGCCUGGCCAGCAUUUUGGGACCAGCAGGCCCUGGGAAGUAGCCGUGUUUUGGAUUAAGACAAGUUGACUACAAAGAGCUGUGACAUUGAGCUUUGAAGCAUGAAGUAUUGUUGGCCCGGAGAAGGAGCACAUGCAUUUCCCUCAGAGAACCAUGGUGUUCCAGAGCCAGAGAGAGAUGGAACAUUUCCAUGAGGCCUUGUGAACAUCUAUUAUCCUAACUCCAAUAAUAGUCCUUUUAAGAAAAUGGCAUGGCCAUCUAGUGGGUGAAUAUAGCAAAUUGGCUUCCAUAGUAUGUCAAAACACUAUUGCCAGUUUGGGGAUUUUUUCCCUGGAAUGAUAAGCUUAUCUUAACCUUAUAAAAUCUAAUGAUUAUUAGACUAAAAAGAGAAAAGGAACCUUGUGAUUAUCUCAAAAGGAAUUUGAUAAAAUUUAUCAGCCGUUCACAGUAAGACAGUUGGAAAGGCAUGGAAGAAGGAAAUGUCUGUAACAUUUUAAGGAAUGUGUGUAAAAAACCAAAGCUAGUACUGGGCUUAACUGCCUAGAAAGUUCCAUUGUGAGAAUCUAAACAAUGUCCCUUUCACUGCUAUUGUUCAGUGUUGCUCUGAAGGUCCUCACUAGGACAAUAACUUGAAAACAAGAAAUAAGGCUCCCGGAGCGGUGGUGUUCCACAGCCUUCCCAGAUUUCACCACACUGCCCAGGCCCCAGUCACUUCACAAGCUGCUUGAGCUGCACUCUCUCUCCCGC
rnacentral:lncRNA from 1 species